rnacentral:tRNA from 1 species
UAGUAUAUAUGAUGUUAAGAUUUCACCUUAUUUAAUGUAUUUAAAUAGCGGUCAUUCAUAACGUGU